UAGAGGCAAUCUUUUCACAGCAAACUCCGCUACGAGAAAAGAAAAAAAAAAAAGAAAGACUUGCGCCACAUUGGAGAUUCGAGUGAUCAUCGCUAUCCCCUUUUGAGUUUUCCAGACUCUGCGAACCAGUGGAUAUUCGUACGGCCGGCCACUGCCAUACCCUGCCGGACUUAGAGCAUCACAAUCGGCAUCCGUCAAAGCUAAAUACGAUCAAACGCCUCAUAGGUUUUGAGAUACGGAGUUAGAGAUUGGCGAUAUUCUGACGAAAGAUCUAUCAUCUCUGCUCUGGCUUAUAAGACAGUUGGUAUCUAUUCAAGAAGAGCUACUUGAUUAAAUAUAAAGGUCAGGCCAGCCUAAUUUUCCUUUGUUGCUUUUUUUUAAUUUGUAUCUCUUUAUCAUUCGUUAAUGUUUGAUUAAAAAAAACUUUAAACAAAAACAGUUUAAAAAAAGAUGGGUUUUAGUAUUUUUCUUUGAAUUCUUUGGUCUCAAAAUAUCAUCAUUACUUCUUUUUUUUUUUAAUAGCACUGGGAGUAUCGCCCUAUUGAAAAUAGAUGUGUUUAGGAAAGGCCUAGGAGAAAAUAGAACUAUGACAAAUUUAGAAAA